GUUCUUCUGUCAGCAACUUUGCUCUUGAAGUAUCUUUGUAAAUAAAUGAUGGUAUGAAUAUUAAAAUAUUGAGAUAACUCUUAGGAUCUAAACUAGACCAGUGAGACGCUGUAGCUUUCUUGACGAGAAACUAAACAUUUUCCUUUGGACAUUGUGAGGUCAUCAUAAAUAAGAAGAUUAAUAGGAAGCAGACACAGAAAAAGUCGCAGCCAUCUCCCAAUUUCCUUCAUCCACCAAUUUAACUUAUCGGAGAUCAUAACUUGGCCUAGCUAAUCAAUUAUGUCAAUUCCUUCCAAAUGCAGCACACGCUACACAACCAGUUCCUACUCUAACAAAGAAAAAUAUUAAUUUUCAAUGGCUACACGAUCACCAAAAUGCAUUUGAGAAAAUAAAACGGAUUCUCAUAAUGGGAAAUAAAUCCUCAGAUACAAAGAAAUAGUUUUGCUUUGAGCUUUUAGUGUUACUUCCCACUUUUAAUAAAAAAGGAGUUUAAUUGAUGUUUCAAUAAA
rnacentral:lncRNA from 1 species